rnacentral:rRNA from 1 species
CGCAUGCAGGUGGUUUUGUUUAAGUCAGAUGUGAAAGCCCGGGGCUCAACCUCGGAAUUGCAUUUGAAACUGGCAGACUAGAGUACUGUAGAGGGGGUAGAAUUUCAGGUGUAGCGGUGAAAUGCGUAGAGAUCUGAAGGAAUACCGGUGGCGAAGGCGGCCCCCUGGACAGAUACUGACACUCAGAUGCGAAAGCGUGGGGAGCAAACAGGAUUAGAUACCCUGGUAG